rnacentral:piRNA from 1 species
UCCAGGAACAGGUGAGAAUGCUGCAGC